GUGGGGAAUAUUGCACAAUGGACGAAAGUCUGAUGCAGCAACGCCGCGUGGAGGAUGACACAUUUCGGUGCGUAAACUCCUUUUAUAUAAGAAGAUAAUGACGGUAUUAUAUGAAUAAGCACCGGCUAACUCCGUGCCAGCAGCCGCGGUAAUACGGAGGGUGCAAGCGUUACUCGGAAUCACUGGGCGUAAAGAGCGUGUAGGCGGAUUGAUAAGUUUGAAGUGAAAUCCUAUAGCUUAACUAUAGAACUGCUUUGAAAACUGUUAAUCUAGAAUGUGGGAGAGGUAGAUGGAAUUUCUGGUGUAGGGGUAAAAUCCGUAGAGAUCAGAAGGAAUACCGAUUGCGAAGGCGAUCUACUGGAACAAUAUUGACGCUGAGACGCGAAAGCGUGGGGAGCAAACAGGAUUAGAUACCCGAGUAGUCC
rnacentral:rRNA from 1 species